UACAGAGGGUGCAAGCGUUAAUCGGAAUUACUGGGCGUAAAGCGUGCGCAGACGGUUGCGUAAGUCUGAUGUGAAAGCCCUGGGCUCAACCUGGGAAUUGCAUUGGAUACUGGCAGGCUAGAGUGCGGUAGAGGAUGGCGGAAUUCCCGGUGUAGCAGUGAAAUGCGUAGAGAUCGGGAGGAACAUCUGUGGCGAAGGCGGCCAUCUGGACCAGCACUGACACUGAGGCACGAAAGCGUGGGGAGCAAACAGG
rnacentral:rRNA from 1 species